rnacentral:misc_RNA from 1 species
GUUUCUCAUGAAAACUAUGGGAACUGACCUAUGGUUUUUGAUAUACCUCAUGGACUAACUUGUAACUUAUCCUAAAUUUAAAGUAGUUGUAAGAUAAAAAUAAACCAUUCUAUUAUUCAUAAUACUUAUACUAUUUUUGGAUGCAUGCACUUCAUUUUUAUUACAUGGAGGUUUUAUGUUGAUCGUUUUGCUAUUGGAAAUUUUCAUAAUAUUGUUUUCCUAGU